rnacentral:rRNA from 1 species
GACGAACGCUGGCGGCGUGCUUAACACAUGCAAGUCGAACGGUGAAGCACCUUCCUUUUGGUGGGUGUGGAUGAGUGGCGAACGGGUGAGUAACACGUGAGUAACCUGCCCCCUUCUUCUGGAUAACCGCAUGAAAGUGUGGCUAAUACGGGAUAUUCUGUGCCUGCUGCAUGGUGGGUGUGGGAAAGAUGCGCUUUUGGGUGUUUUUGGUGGGGGAUGGGCUCGCGGCCUAUCAGCUUGUUGGUGGGGUGAUGGCCUACCAAGGCGGUGACGGGUAGCCGGCCUGAGAGGGGGGACGGUCACACUGGGACUGAGACACGGCCCAGACUCCUACGGGAGGCAGCAGUGGGGAAUAUUGCACAAUGGGCGCAAGCCUGAUGCAGCGACGCCGCGUGAGGGAUGGAGGCCUUCGGGUUGUAAACCUCUUUCGCCAGUGAAGCAGGCCUGUCCCUUGUGGGUGGGUUGACGGUAGCUGGAUAAGAAGCGCCGGCUAACUACGUG